rnacentral:tRNA from 1 species
GGGGUGCAACUGAAGGUACAGCAUUUGCCUGCAGGCCAAGCGGUCUCUGGUUCAAAUCCAUGUGCCUCC